CCAAAAUACAAAUGGGGAUCUGUGACUCAUCAGAGUGUGGGGGUUGUGAAAGGCCCAGUAUUCAUCCUGGGGUUACGUGUGAUGGAUGUCAGAUGUUUCCUAUCAAUGGAUCCAGAUUCAAAUGCAGAAAGACCAAAAAACACAAUACCAGGCAUACAUUUGGCAGAAUAAAUGAACCAGGCUUCAGCAGAAGAAACACUUCCUAUAAAUCUCGCCCAAACAGGAAAGGUGAGAAGCAUUAGGGUGUCCGACUACGUGGGUUUCAUAGCUGUGGAAAAGCCAAAGGGGAGACUCCUGAAUGAAGAGCGGGUCAGGAAGAUGAGCACAGCACUGCUACUCCUGUGGGCACAGGGACAGCAUGUCUCCAGCCAGUGCCACCUUGUUUAAUACAUGGGAACUCACUGAAAUUCAUUCUGUAUUUUGCCCGCAAAGUUUUAAAGAUUUCAUCCACAGUCAGGAAUUAAACUUAUACCAAUGAGAGCCUCACACAUUCAAGGAUGUACUAAGCACUACAG
rnacentral:lncRNA from 1 species